rfam:Schistosoma haematobium scaffold132_14, whole genome shotgun sequence.
AUCCGACUGACGAAUCCCAAAUAAGACGAAACGCAUGUCAAACUGGAU